UCUAGAGUGAGAAAGGUACCAAAGCUGCGAAUUUAAUUCAUUCUGCAGAGCAGUUGCUAAAAAUGGUCCAGUUGCUUGUGAAUCGUGCCCUGUGAUACCGUGAUAUGGCUUUCAGUCCCGAACUCUAUUAGCUCCUGCAUGCAAGUCAUAUUUCAAUAAUUACUAGCUUUAGGACAUUCAUCUAACAAUUGCGCAAAGCAGAUAAGGUUUACCGUUUAUUAAACACGGUGGCCUAAAUCACAAUAGUCACCCAAGUCUAAGUCGUAGGCUAAGUCUUACUUGUUGUUUAGCCUACUCGCAAUUUUGCCUGUUAUAAGGCUAAUGUUGCAGUUUUCCUGAUCAAAUUUAUCAGUGACUCUGGACUCCGGAUUGUUUGUUUUAACACAUGGCCUAAUAUAGUCUUAGGCUACCAUAUCAAAAGGAUCGGAUAAAACCACAUAGAUAGCUUGUAACCCAAGACCACUUUCACUGCACACAAGACCACCAUCACUGCCACAUUAAGACAAAGUUGUACCCCCCCACCACCACCACAUAUACACACACACACACACACACACGCCAACAACACUGUCAUUACAGAGUCAUAAGUAUUAAUCAACCACAUAUUAUUUAUGAUUAUUCAUUAUUCAACAACCCCCCCCCCCCCCUCUCUCUCCCAAACUUUUGAUGUGACCUCUUGUCCUUGAUGAUGAUUAACUAAAUUAUCUCUUGUAUACUCUGUCCUGAUGCAGCUGUUCAGUUGCAGUAUCUUCCACUACACAAUGACAUAGGUGCAUCUUCAACAUUUCAUUGAAAUAGUUCAGCAUCUAUUUUCAGCAACAGCAGGUGCCCCUUUAUUUUGUUUCCUCUGCAAACAUAGGGCUGAACAUCUUGCACUGGGCACUAAUUGUCAUUGUCACUGUUAGUUAUAUAUGACCGUUUAUAGCUUAGUCACAUUUAACUGAGGCUCAUUGUCACUGCAUGUUGACACCUACAUGUUUAAAUACACAGAGAUAUACAAUAAUCACAGGAAGAAGAUCUGUAUUUAUGCUGUGUUCGCUUUUUUGCACUAUAUCAAACAGAGGAGACAGAAUGCUUUUCUAUGUGUCCUUCCCUAAGCCUGCUGGAGUUCUGUAGCCUUGUGAUGUUUAACAUGGCGUCUAGUGCGAUUUAUUUUAACCUGGGCCAUAUGCAGAGCAAAUAUAUCUGUGUAUUGUAGUGCCAGUUUCUGAUUUUUAUGGCAGAAGUGUGUUCAGCACAGUCCAGUCAGCAGGAGUUGUUUGAUUUCAUUUGAUAGUUGCCUACAAACCUGAAUAGGCAAAGGAAUGCAGAUAUGUGAUCUAGGCUACAGUAUUGGAGAAGCCCUUA